AUCCCUUUCUUCUCCGUUUCUAUAGAUUUCCUGUUUCCAGGGAGACCAAGGUCGAGGUAUCAGUCUCAGGAAUUUGUUUUUAUCGGGCUUCCGUAUGAAUCCUCCAUAGCGUUUCACCAUUAUGCCUUGAGAGUCCACCAGGGGGGACACCAGUUCCUGCUCCUUCUUCACUUCUAUGAUCCCUUCUUGAGAAGAUAAGAGCUGGCUACAACUCUCCCAUUCAUCAUCAGGAAGCAGAGAUCCCUCACACUGCAAGGAACAUACCUGUAUGGGGGCAAAAGUAAAUCAAAAAGUUCUGUACCUAAAUUGACGAUGAUCAUCAGCCCUAAUUUGGGAUAUUCAGCAGAUGCCAAGAUCCAUUGAGGGUCCCAUAUUGGCAUACACAGCAGAGAAAGAAAUCAACAAGGUGCAGUGGGCGAGCACCCAGUCUGACUGUAUUGCCAUUUGUUAUAACAACUGACUGGAGAUCCUGCAUGUGUGACUGUAUUUAUUCCUUACUCUUUUAGCCCACUCCUCCUGCCCCUUUCCUACAGGAUCUUCCUCUCCUCACGGCCUACAGAUUUUAUAUAUCCAGACUUUCCCAUAUAAGCCAGAAGAUCCUCAUUCUACUUCCGGAGUUAAUUGGCUUUCUCUACUAAACAUUAUUAUCCAGAUAAACCAAGUCCUUAUGUCUGUUUUUACAGUAUAUGAACUCUGUUACAUUGAGGAAUUAGUGCUACUUAGUAAAUCAGGCCCUGUUUUUAGCCUGCAACUUUAAAAGGGAUUCCCUUCCCUGGUCAGUCCCCUGUAUUUAGCCUUGAGUGUAUUUCAGUUGUGGAUUAUGUGGGUGGGAUGGUAACUAUUGUACUGUAAAAUGACUUGUGCCUACUAUCCACAUAUUUGUGUGUAUUUGUAGUGCUGACAUGCUAUUUCUAUUUAUUGUCUGACAUUAAAUGAGAAUCAGGUUCCCUCCAUUGAUUAGCA